UACGGAAGGCAGCAGUGGGGAAUAUUGCACAAUGGGCGCAAGCCUGAUGCAGCCAUGCCGCGUGUAUGAAGAAGGCCUUCGGGUUGUAAAGUACUUUCAGUCGUGAGGAAGGUGUUAAGGUUAAUAACCUUAGCAAUUGACGUUAGCGACAGAAGAAGCACCGGCUAACUCCGUGCCAGCAGCCGCGGUAAUACGGAGGGUGCGAGCGUUAAUCGGAAUUACUGGGCGUAAAGGGCACGCAGGCGGUUAAUUAAGUUGGAUGUGAAAUCCCCGGGCUUAACCUGGGAAUGGCAUUCAAGACUGGUUAGCUAGAGUCUUGUAGAGGGGGUAGAAUUCCGAUGUGUAGCGGUGAAAUGCGUAGAGAUGUGGAGGAAUACCGGUGGCGAAGGCGGCCCCUGGACAAAGACUGACGCUCAUGUGCGAAAGCGUGGGGAGCAAACAGGGAUUAGAUACC
rnacentral:rRNA from 1 species